UACGAAGGGGACUAGCGUUGUUCGGAAUCACUGGGCGUAAAGCGCACGUAGGCGGAUGUGUCAGUCAGGGGUGAAAUCCCGGGGCUCAACCUCGGAACUGCCUUUGAUACAGCACGGUCUCGAGUCCGGAAGAGGUGGGUGGAAUUCCUAGUGUAGAGGUGAAAUUCGAUAGAUAUUAGGAAGAACACCGGUGGCGAAGGCGGCCCACUGGUCCGGUACUGACGCGAGUGCGAAGCGUGGGGAGCAAACAGGAUUAGACUAC
rnacentral:rRNA from 1 species